CACUCACUCAAGCUCAUGUACACUAAUGACUUGCAUGCUCUCACCCUCUUUGGGUUCAAACUUGGUACAAUAAUGGAUUAGCCCCUCAAAGCCCAUGACUCCUGGGCCUUAAGAUUGUAAAGGCAGCCUGCCUCCACCUUAGGGCUCAAACCAGCCUCAGAACCUCCAUGAAUACUUUAUGGACUUCAAACUUUGACCUUCUUCUUGACCAUC
rnacentral:lncRNA from 1 species